rnacentral:rRNA from 1 species
ACUUCGUAGUUAGUGCCGUAGAGUUUGAUCCUGGCUCAGGAAUAUGUUGUAGCAAGGUAGCCGUAUAAGUUUGAUUCUGGCCAUAGACUCCCGUAUAGGGAAUAGCCCCUGGAAACUGUGAUUAAUACCCUAUGUGCCCUUCGGGGGAAAGAUUUAUCGCCUUUGGAUCGGCCCGCGUUAGAUUAAAUAGUUGGUGGGGUAACGGCCUACCAAGUCUACAAUCUAUAGCUGGUUUUAGAGGAUGAUCAGCAACACUGGGACUGAAACACGGCCCAAACUCCUACGGGAGGCAGCAGUGGGGAAUCUUGGACAAUGGGGGCAACCCUGAUCCACCCAUGCCGCGUGAGUGAUGAAGGCCCUAGGGUCGUAAAGCUCUUUCCCCUGUAAAAAUAAUGACUGUCCCAGGUAAAAAAACCCCGGCUAACUCCGUGCCACCACCCGCGGUAAUACGGAGGGGGUUAGCGUUGUUCGAAAUUACUGGGCGUAAAGCGCGCGUAGGCGGACUGGAAAUUUGGGGGUGAAAUCCCGGGGCUCAACCCCGGACCUGCCUCCAAAACUAUCAGUCUAGAGUUCGAGAGAGGUGAGUGGAAUUCCGAGUGUAGAGGUGAAAUUCGUAAAUAUUCGGAGGAACACCAGUGGCAAAGGCGGCUCACUGGCUCGAUACUGACGCUGAGGUGCGAAAGUGUGGGGAGCAAACAGGAUUAGAUACCCUGGUAGUCCACACCGUAAACGAUGAAUGCCAGUCGUCGGGUAGCAUGCUAUUCGGUGACACACCUAACGAAUUAAGCAUUCCCGCCUGGGGAUUACGGUCGCAAGAUUAAAACUCAAAGGAAUUGACGGGGGCCCGCACAAGCGGGUGGAACAUGUGGGUUUUAUUUCGAAGCAACGCGCAAAAACCUUACCAACCCUUUGACAUCCUUCGGACCGACUUGAGAGAUUUGGCUUUCACUUCUGUGACCGAGUGACAAGGAGCUGCAUGGACUGGUUGUCGUCUCGUGCGUGAGGUGACGUGUAAUUACGUGCAAGCGAGCGACAGCAACAUCUCAGUUGCUAGCAGUUCGUGCUGGUGCGACUCUAUGGAAAGCUAGCCGCUGAUGAAUCAGCAGGAAGGAUGUGGAUGACGGUACAAGUAGUUCAUUGAUCGCUAUGCUGGUGUGACUACGGUUGCGUUACAUCGCGUGACAUGGAUGAAUCCCACAAGCUGAUCUCACGGUCAUG